rnacentral:rRNA from 1 species
CCCGGCGACCGGCGCACGGGUGAGUAACGCGUAUGCAACUUACCUAUCAGAGGGGAUAACCCGGCGAAAGUCGGACUAAUACCGCAUGAAGCAGGGGCCCCGCAUGGGGAUAUUUGCUAAAGAUUCAUCGCUGAUAGAUAGGCAUGCGUUCCAUUAGGCAGUUGGCGGGGUAACGGCCCACCAAACCGACGAUGGAUAGGGGUUCUGAGAGGAAGGUCCCCUACAUUGGUACUGAGACACGGACCAAACUCCUACGGGAGGCAGCAG